GACGAACGCUGGCGGCGUGCUUAACACAUGCAAGUCGAACGAUGAACCGGUUUCGGCCGGGGAUUAGUGGCGAACGGGUGAGUAACACGUGGGCAAUCUGCCCUGCACUCUGGGAUAAGCCCGGGAAACUGGGUCUAAUACCGGAUACGACACUCCGAGGCAUCUUGGGGUGUGGAAAGUUCCGGCGGUGCAGGAUGAGCCCGCGGCCUAUCAGCUUGUUGGUGGGGUAAUGGCCUACCAAGGCGACGACGGGUAGCCGGCCUGAGAGGGUGACCGGCCACACUGGGACUGAGACACGGCCCAGACUCCUACGGGAGGCAGCAGUGGGGAAUAUUGCACAAUGGGCGAAAGCCUGAUGCAGCGACGCCGCGUGGGGGAUGACGGCCUUCGGGUUGUAAACCUCUUUCAGCAGGGAAGAAGCGAAAGUGACGGUACCUGCAGAAGAAGCACCGGCUAACUACGUG
rnacentral:rRNA from 1 species